AGCAGUCGCCGCGGUAAUACGUAGGUGGCAAGCGUUGUCCGGAAUUAUUGGGCGUAAAGCGCGCGCAGGCGGAUAGGUCAGUCUGUCUUAAAAGUUCGGGGCUUAACCCCGUGAUGGGAUGGAAACUGCCAAUCUAGAGUAUCGGAGAGGAAAGUGGAAUUCCUAGUGUAGCGGUGAAAUGCGUAGAUAUUAGGAAGAACACCAGUGGCGAAGGCGACUUUCUGGACGAAAACUGACGCUGAGGCGCGAAAGCCAGGGGAGCGAACGGGAUUAGAGACCCCAGUAGUCCCUGUCUCUUAUACA
rnacentral:rRNA from 1 species